UAAACUCGCUGUGCAAAAACAUAUUUCUGCUACAUGGAAGGAAAAACUUACUGGUGAUACCUUCACACAACCUCCCUUUGAAAACAUCCAAAUAUUAUUUUUAAACUAUGAGGUAACAUCUAACCCUGCUUUCAGAUUUAACACAAAAGGAUGUGUUACCACAUUAGAUGACGCUGCCUGAAAUAAAGACUUAAUGUCGUCAAGAGGACAGCAGAAGAAAAAGGAGAUGGAUCCACAUUUAAAUAACAGGAGGCAAAUAUAU